UAACCUGCCCAAGAGAUCGGGAUAACACCUGGAAGCAGAUGCUAAUACCGGAUAACAACAGAUGAUGCCUAUCAACUGUUUAAAAGAUGGUUCUGCUAUCACUCUUGGAUGGACCUGCGGUGCAUUAGCUAGUUGGUAGGGUAACGGCCUACCAAGGCGAUGAUGCAUAGCCGAGUUGAGAGACUGAUCGGCCACAUUUGGACUUAGACACGGCCCAAACUCCUACGGGAGGCAGCAGCA
rnacentral:rRNA from 1 species